rnacentral:rRNA from 1 species
AUGAUUAGUACAAGUAUCCUAGUUUGGAAUGUUAGAGGCCUAAACUGCCCAGCUCGCUGUGGGGUGGUCCGUGAUGUUGUUUCCAAGCAUAAAUCGGCGAUUAUCUGUUUGCAAGAGUCAAAAUUAGCUCAUGUCGAUCAACUGUUGGUAAAGCAAGUUUGUGGUUCUAAUUGUUCUGAAUUUCUGUACUCGCCUGCAUCGGGAACCAGAGGGGGCAUCAUCAUGGCUUGGGAUCCAGCCCUGGUUGAUGUUGACUUGCAGGAGUGCCACCGCUCCUUUUUAGCUGUUGUUUGUUGUUGGAAAUUGACUGGGAUAAAAUUCAGAGUUGUGACUGUCUAUGGACCACAAUCUGACUCAGACAAGCUGAAAUUCCUUGAAGAUUUGAGACCUCUUUGCUCCUCUGCUUUGCCGUGUAUUUUUGCUGGGGAUUUUAACUUGAUUGCUGAUGCUGCUGAUAAAAGUAAUUUGAACUUGAAUAGGAGAAUGAUGGCUGCUUUCAGGAGAUUCAUCAAUGAGCUUGAGCUUAGAGAUUUGUACUUGCACGGGAGAAAAUAUACCUGGACGAAUGAGCAGCAAAAUGCAACCAAAGUGAAACUUGACAGAGUACUAUACAGUGGUGAUUGGAUGGCUGUUCACCCAAACUGCAUUCUUGCUGCCCUGUCGAGUGACAUUUCAGACCACUGUCCCCUGCUACUCUCCACUAAUGCCACCUUCACAUCCCCAAGACAUUUCAGAUUUGAUAACUACUGGACUGGAUUCGAGGGCUUUCAACACGUGGUGAAUGAUUGCUGGGCAAAGCCAACCGGAUGCUCCGAUCCAUACCUUGUGUUGCAUUGCAAGCUCACCAACACUGCUAGGGCUCUGAAGAAGUGGAGUUCCUCCCACCUUGGCGAUCUUAAGCUCAGAGCAGCCAUCUCUAGUGAGCUCAUUGGAAAGUUGGAUGCGGCUAUAGACGGAAGAGAUCUCACUAGCAGCGAGCGUCGCCUUCGGACAUCCCUGAAAAUGAAUCUUCUGGGCAUUGCAGCGAUCCAGCGAGCUCACUGGCGGAAAAGGGCUAGAAUUGACUGGUUGAAAGACGGUGACGCGAGCACUGAAUUUUUUCAUGCAAAGGCUUCUACGAGACGGUGUAAGAAUCUUAUCCUUAGUAUUAAGCAUAAUGGUACGAUGGUGACUGGCCAGGAUGAAAAGUUGCAAGCUAUUUGGGAGCAUUUCUCCUCGGUCCUUGGAACUAAGAAACAGAGAGGUUGCUGUCUGAAUUUCAUUGAAUUGGGCAUAAACCAAAAAGAUCUCUCGGGUCUGGAGUGCCCCUUCACUAAGCAGGAAGUUAAGGCUGCAAUUAUGGACCUAAACCCAAGAAAAGCCCCUGGGCCUGAUGGAUUCAUGGCACUGUUCUUCCAAAAGUGUUGGGACAUUGUAAAAGGGGAUGUCAUGCUGGCGAUCAAGGCUUUUGAGUGUUGCAAUGUCCGAAACCUUGCUAGUCUUAACAAUGCAAUCAUCAUUCUCAUCGCCAAGGGAGCAGAUGCGGAAGAGGCUAAAGACUAUAGGCCUAUUAGUCUGCUCUCCUUCUUUGCGAAGAUUAUCAUGAAGGUCCUUGCAAGAAGAUUGCAACCAAUGAUGAAAGACCUGGUGCUUCCUUCGCAGAGUGCAUUCAUCAAGGGCAGAGCAAUCCACGACAAUUUUGUCUUUGUUAAAGGAAUGGUCAGAUCGCUAUACCUGAAGAAAAUCCCUUCUGUGAUGCUGAAACUGGAUAUUGAAAAGGCGUUUGAUAGUGUCUCAUGGGAGUUCCUGAUUGAGGUCCUCACCGCGAAAGGUUUUGGACAAAAGUGGAGAAACUGGAUUGUUGCGAUGCUUGCUUCUUCUUCCACUCGGGUUCUUGUCAAUGGCGAGCUUUCUGAGAAAAUUUUCCAUCACAAGGGCCUUAGGCAGGGUGACCCACUUUCACCGCUGCUUUUCGUCCUUGUCAUGGACUUGCUUGAUGCAAUGAUGAUGUGA